rnacentral:lncRNA from 1 species
GAGGAAGACAAAGAUAAUAAUUAUUACAUGAUACAAUACCUGAAUAUAUGAAAAUGUACUGAUUUCUGUGGGUUCACCACUGGUGAGUGGUGACUGAUUUACUUCUGAGAGGCAUGACCUGAAUAGCCCUAUGGCAAGAGGAUGGACAGCAGGGUAGCCACAAACCUUUAUGAACUUUUCUGAGAAUUAUGAGAGGCCCUAUGGGAAGAUAUGGCCCUAAUUUAUUUGACAAGUGAAACAUAGAUGGGAUUUCAGGCUCAAAUUUCAAUCUUGACCAUGAACCUUAUGUAGUGAAUAAUCUGAUCAACUGUAUAUGAUGACAUUGACAUUGGGAGGGUGGGGUAAUAGGGUGGGAUGUGUGUAUUAAUAGAUACAUAUAAUUUGAUGUAUUAAUAGAUACAUAUAAUUAAUCUCUUAUGUAGUUUUUAAAGCUUUUAUUUAUUUAUUCAUGAUAGACAUAGAGAGAGAGAGAGAGAGAGAGAGAGGCAGAGACCCAGGCAGAGGGAGAAGCAGGCUCCAUGCCGGGGGCCGAUGUGGGACUCGACCGGGACUCCAGGAUCGCGCCCUGGGCCAAAGGCAGGCACUAAGCUGCUGAGCCACCCAGGGAUCCCUCUCUUAUGUACCUUUGUUUUGAAUGUUUUGAUUUAAAUACUGAAGUUUUACUCUCACUAUUACCUUUGGGAACAAUACAAUAAGUUUUCAGUAUUUCUAUAUCAAAGAGUCUAGGAGAAAGUAAACAAAAUGAAAAAAAUAUUUCAUUAUAUUUGAUAAGAUAUAAUACUGAUAUAUAUUGGUAUAUACUGAUAAGAAUUAUAUAAUAAUUUACAUAUGCAUAACAGCAAAUGUAUACAGUUUACAUUUGAAUGGAACCAAGUUUUGGAAUUCUUUUCCAAAUACUUUUACUAUAUACCUUAUGUGAUAAAUAGGCAAAGCUUAAUGCCUUUUAGACACAAGGUCAACUCCUGAAUUUUUCCCAUUUUAAUUGCCUGAUUUUGCAUACAUUUCUUCUCUCAGCCUCACAUUCCUUAUUUGUAAAAUAAAAGUGAUAACACCUUCAUUACUGGAUUGCGUGGAGUCUUAGGGAUUGAGAAUAAUGAUUUAACCCACCACAAGUAUAAGGGUGUAAAAUCAUGAGUUUUGGUUUGCAUAUAUUUAAGUUCCCUUUGAGAUACUCCUGUAGCGAGGUAAACUUGUCAAUGGGGUAGUUCAGAGUAAAGGCCUAAGGAAAAACACCAUCCUAAUGAAUACUUAGGUUCAGUCUAUGGCAUUAGAAAGAUAAUACACCAUUCACAACGAUGUAUAAUUAAUUAGUAAGAAAAUAUGAGCGCUGACAUAUGAGCAAUACUUUCUCCAUAUUUUCUAAUUUUCCAAUGAUUCCUGGCUGAUGCUUUAUCUGAAAUAUCAAAUAUGUAUGUAUGUAUGUAUGUAUGUAUGUACGUAUGCAAGUGAUUUAUUUUCCUACUUUGCAAGAGUACUAAAUUCCCCUACUGAGGAGUCUUAUAUUUGUAAUCAAUACUUGCUUAUAGGCAUUAAUUCAACUAUGGAUCUGAGACGAAGACUCCACAUCUAGGGGUGGUAACUGCAUUCAUUUCAGAUAUGGAAACACUGUGAUUUGAACUUCUCUCUCAUCUAGGCAGUAAAAGGCUCAGAAAUGUCUUAUCUUGUAAGGGCAGUGAUGUAAAAUAAACUAUGAUUUUGAAAAAUAAGCUAUUAGCUAGAUUUAAAAGAAAUUGUGAGCCUAUUUUUUAUUUCUCCUUUAAGCAUGCUUUCUUUCUUUUUUUUUUUUUUUUUUUUUAAUGCCUCAAUAACAGCUUGGUGUCCAGAGGCAGCCAUUUCACCACUCAUAUGUGUCUAUCAACAAACAGUGCGCUGCUCCUGUCAGUGUUUUCUGCAGUAGAGAUCAUUAGCUCUACUUCAGGUGUUCAAUUUAAAUUUCUCAUUAUAACUAUUUUAUUUUAUUUUUUUGCUUUUAUCACUUUCUUUCUCCCAUUAGAUGUAUUCAUCUUCAUUUUUAUUUUUCAGAAUAAAAAAUGAGAUGAAAAACUUCAUACCUAUUUGCCAAAAGAUUAAUUAUAUUUAACAUAAUGGAGGUAAACAUUAGUUUACCCUCAUCUUUUGGAUAUUUUUUUUAAAUUAAAUAACAUGAAAUCUAAUUUCUAAAAAAAUAAAAAAAUAAAAAAAAAAAA